rnacentral:rRNA from 1 species
UACGGGAGGCAGCAGUGGGGAAUAUUGCACAAUGGGCGAAAGCCUGAUGCAGCUAUGCCGCGUGUAUGAAGAAGGCCUUAGGGUUGUAAAGUACUUUCAUCGGGGAGGAAAAACAAAACUAAUAAUUUUAUUUCUUGACGUUACCCGAAAAAGAAGCACCGGCUAACUCCGUGCCAGCAGCCGCGGUAAUACGGAGGGUGCUAGCGUUAAUCAGAAUUACUGGGCGUAAAGAGCACGUAGGUGGUUUUUUUAAGUCAGAUGUGAAAAUCCCUGGGCUUAACCUAGGAACUGCAAUUUUGAAACUGAAAUACUAGAGUAUCGUAGAGGGAGGUAGAAUUCUAGGUGUAGCGGUGAAAUGCGUAGAUAUCUGGAGGAAUACCUGUGGCGAAAGCGGCCUCCUAAACGAAUACUGACACUGAGGGUGCGAAAAGCGUGGGGAGCAAAACAGGGAUUAGAUACC